rnacentral:rRNA from 1 species
UACGGGGGGGGCAAGCGUUGUUCGGAAUUACUGGGCGUAAAGGGCUCGUAGGUGGCCAACUAAGUCAGACGUGAAAUCCCUCGGCUUAACCGGGGAACUGCGUCUGAUACUGGAUGGCUUGAGUUUGGGAGAGGGACGCGGAAUUCCAGGUGUAGCGGUGAAAUUCGUAGAUAUCGGGAGGAACACCAGUGGCGAAGGCGGCGAUCUGGGAAGAUACUGACGCUGAGGUGCGAAAGCGUGGGGAGCAAACAGG